AAAAGGGAAGCGCUUGUGACCAGACUUGCGUCCGGUGAAUCACCCAGCUCUCGCGGCUGGGGCACUUCGCCGGCACAGGCCAGCAUCAGCUUGCCGUCGGGGACAAAAGCUUCAGGAACGUGGCUCCUCUCGGGGAGUGUUAUAGCCUGUUGCACAAUACCCUUCGGCGGGCUGAGGUACGCGCUCCGCAAGGAUGCUGGCGUAAU
rnacentral:rRNA from 1 species